rnacentral:lncRNA from 1 species
GCACUGUAGCCUCGGCAGUGAACCGGGAGGUACUACCAGGUCGCCGUCGUUGCUCCGCUCGCUCUGAGAGAGCAUGGCCCUGAGAGGCGUCUCCGUGCGGCUGCUGAGCCGCGGACCCGGCCUGCACGUCCUUCGCACGUGGGUCUCGUCGGCGGCGCAGACCGAGAAAGGCGGGAGAACACAGAGCCAACUGGCUAAGUGUAAGGACCUCUGGUCGCACCGUGUGUCUGCUGCCCCUGUUCAGCUGUCUGUCUGCCGCAGGUGGACUCUGUCCCAGAAUCCGAGAGCUGCCCGAGCGGGGUGGCAGGGUCGUGGCCAGGGUCAGAGGCACUAAGGCACCUCGCGUCCCGAGUUUGACUGGCAGGACCCGCUGGUGCUGGAGGAGCAGCUGACCACAGAUGAGAUCCUCAUCAGGGACACCUUCCGCACCUACUGCCAGGAGAGACUCAUGCCUCGCAUCCUGUUGGCCAAUCGCAACGAAGUUUUUCAUCGGGAG